UUUCCAUAGCAGGUCUAAA
rnacentral:snRNA from 1 species